rnacentral:rRNA from 1 species
CAGUAGCCACGGGAAUACGUAGGUGGCUAGCGUUGUCCGGAAUUAUUGGGCGUAAAGGGCUCGCAGGCGGUUUCUUAAGUCUGAUGUGAAAGCCCCCGGCUCAACCGGGGAGGGUCAUUGGAAACUGGGAAACUUGAGUGCAGAAGAGGAGAGUGGAAUUCCACGUGUAGCGGUGAAAUGCGUAGAGAUGUGGAGGAACACCAGUGGCGAAGGCGACUCUCUGGUCUGUAACUGACGCUGAGGAGCGAAAGCGUGGGGAGCGAACAGGAUUAGAUACCCGCGUAGUCCCUGUCUCUUAUAA